rnacentral:rRNA from 1 species
UGCAAGUCGAGCGGACAGAUGGGAGCUUGCUCCCUGAUGUUAGCGGCGGACGGGUGAGUAACACGUGGGUAACCUGCCUGUAAGACUGGGAUAACUCCGGGAAACCGGGGCUAAUACCGGAUGCUUAAUUGAACCGCAUGGUUCAAUUAUAAAAGGUGGCUUUUAGCUACCACUUACAGAUGGACCCGCGGCGCAUUAGCUAGUUGGUGAGGUAACGGCUCACCAAGGCAACGAUGCGUAGCCGACCUGAGAGGGUGAUCGGCCACACUGGGACUGAGACACGGCCCAGACUCCUACGGGAGGCAGCAGUAGGGAAUCUUCCGCAAUGGACGAAAGUCUGACGGAGCAACGCCGCGUGAGUGAUGAAGGUUUUCGGAUCGUAAAACUCUGUUGUUAGGGAAGAACAAGUACCGUUCGAAUAGGGCGGUACCUUGACGAUACCUAACCAGAAAGCCACGGCUAACUACGUGCCAGCAGCCGCGGUAAUACGUAGGUGGCAAGCGUUGUCCGGAAUUAUUGGGCGUAAAGCGCGCGCAGGCGGUUUCUUAAGUCUGAUGUGAAAGCCCCCGGCUCAACCGGGGAGGGUCAUUGGAAACUGGGGAACUUGAGUGCAGAAGAGGAGAGUGGAAUUCCACGUGUAGCGGUGAAAUGCGUAGAGAUGUGGAGGAACACCAGUGGCGAAGGCGACUCUCUGGUCUGUAACUGACGCUGAGGCGCGAAAGCGUGGGGAGCGAACAGGAUUAGAUACCCUGG